rnacentral:rRNA from 1 species
AUGCGAUAAGUAAUGUGAAUUGCAGAAUUCAGUGAAUCAUCGAAUCUUUGAACGCACCUUGCGCCCUUUGGCUAUUCUGAAGGGCAUGCCUGUUUGAGUAUCAUGAACACCUCAACUCUCAUGGUUUUCCAUGAUGAGCUUGGACUUUGGAGGUCUUGCUGGCCUGUGGCCAGCUCCUCUCAAAUGGAUCAGCUUGCCAGUGUUUGGUGGCAUCACAGGUGUGAUAACUAUCUGCGCUUGUGGUUCUCCACCGGAUAACCUUCAUCAAUGGAGGUUUGCACAGGGGCUCACAAAUGUCUCUCCUCAGUGAGGACAGCUUUUUGAACGUUUGAUCUCAAAUCAGGUAGGACUACCCGCUGAACUUAA